rnacentral:rRNA from 1 species
UACAGAGGUCUCAAGCGUUGUUCGGAUUCAUUGGGCGUAAAGGGUGCGUAGGUGGCGGGGUAAGUCAGAUGUGAAAUCUCGGAGCUCAACUCCGAAACUGCAUUUGAUACUGCCUUGCUUGAGUACUGGAGAGGAGAUUGGAAUUUACGGUGUAGCAGUGAAAUGCGUAGAUAUCGUAAGGAAGACCAGUGGCGAAGGCGAAUCUCUGGACAGUUACUGACACUGAGGCACGAAAGGCCAGGGGAGGCAAAACGGGG